UACGUAGGGUGCAAGCGUUGUCCGGAAUUAUUGGGCGUAAAGAGCUCGUAGGCGGUUCGUCGCGUCGGCUGUGAAAACCCGGAGCUCAACUCCGGGCCUGCAGUCGAUACGGGCGGACUCGAGUUCGGCAGGGGAGACUGGAAUUCCUGGUGUAGCGGUGAAAUGCGCAGAUAUCAGGAGGAACACCGGUGGCGAAGGCGGGUCUCUGGGCCGUUACUGACGCUGAGGAGCGAAAGCGUGGGGAGCGAACAGG
rnacentral:rRNA from 1 species